rnacentral:rRNA from 1 species
UACUGGUUAUCUUGAGUUGUAUUGAAGUAGGCGGAAUAUGUAGUGUAGCGGUGAAAUGCAUAGAUAUUACAUAGAACACCAAUUGCGAAGGCAGCUUACUAAGUACUAACUGACGCUGAUGGACGAAAGCGUGGGUAGCGAACAGGAUUAGAUACCCUGGUAGUCCACGCCGUAAACGAUGGAUACUAGCUGUUCGGGGCCUUGAGCUCUGAGCGGCUAAGCGAAAGUGAUAAGUAUCCCACCUGGGGAGUACGUUCGCAAGAAUGAAACUCAAAGGAAUUGACGGGGGCCCGCACAAGCGGUGGAGCAUGUGGUUUAAUUCGAUGAUACGCGAGGAACCUUACCAGGGCUUAAAUGUAGUCUGACAGCUUUAGAGAUAGAGUUUUCUUCGGACAGAUUACAAGGUGCUGCAUGGUUGUCGUCAGCUCGUGCCGUGAGGUGUCAGGUUAAGUCCUAUAACGAGCGCAACCCCUGUCGUUAGUUGCCAGCAUGUCAUGAUGGGGACUCUAACGAGACUGCCGGUGCAAACCGGCGAGGAAGGUGGGGGAUGACGUCAAAUCAUCACGGGCCCUUACGUCCUGGGCCACACACGUGCUAACAAUGGGCCGGUACAGAGAGCAGCCACGUCGGCAAGGCGGAGCGAAUCUAUAAAACCGGUCACAGUUCGGAUC